rnacentral:lncRNA from 1 species
UAACAUUCUCUUUCUCAAAUUUUAUUCUUGAUGUUUGAUUGUAAGUAAAUUAUAAUUUUCAAUGAUUCUCUAUCUUAUCUGGUCACAUACGUCAACAGAUUCUCAUUCUCACCAUCAUUAAAGAAGCAAUUUGUAAGAAAAAUAAAGGUAAAAUAUUUCCGUUAUUUCAUUGUAUAAUUUAUGUGAUAACUUCCAUAAAAUUCACUACUAUUAACUUCCAUAAAU